rnacentral:rRNA from 1 species
UGCAGUCGAACGGUAACAUGUCUAGCUUGCUAGAUGAUGACGAGUGGCGGACGGGUGAGUAAUACUUAGGGAUCUGCCUUUUGGAGGGGGAUAACCAUUGGAAACGAUGGCUAAUACCGCAUAAUGUCUGUGGACCAAAGGGGGCGCUAGCGCUCUCGCCAAGAGAUGAACCUAAGCGAGAUUAGCUAGUUGGUGUGGUAAAGGCGCACCAAGGCGACGAUCUCUAGCUGUUCUGAGAGGAAGAUCAGCCACACUGGGACUGAGACACGGCCCAGACUCCUACGGGAGGCAGCAGUGGGGAAUAUUGCACAAUGGGGGAAACCCUGAUGCAGCCAUGCCGCGUGUGUGAAGAAGGCCUUCGGGUUGUAAAGCACUUUCAGUUGUGAGGAAAGGUUGGAGGUUAAUACCCUUUAGCUGUGACGUUAGCAACAGAAGAAGCACCGGCUAACUCCGUGCCAGCAGCCGCGGUAAUACGGAGGGUGCGAGCGUUAAUCGGAAUUACUGGGCGUAAAGCGCACGCAGGCGGUUGUUUAAGCUAGAUGUGAAAGCCCCGGGCUCAACCUGGGAAUAGCAUUUAGAACUGGGCAACUAGAGUCUUGGAGAGGGGAGUGGAAUUCCAGGUGUAGC